rnacentral:rRNA from 1 species
UUGCUUCUUUGCUGAUGAGUGGCGGACGGGUGAGUAAUGUCUGGGAAACUGCCUGAUGGAGGGGGAUAACUACUGGAAACGGUAGCUAAUACCGCAAACGUCGCAAGACCAAAGAGGGGGACCUUCGGGCCUCUUGCCAUCGGAUGUGCCCAGAUGGGAUUAGCUUGUUGGUGGGGUAACGGCUCACCUAGGCGACGAUCCCUAGCUGGUCUGAGAGGAUGACCAGCCACACUGGAACUGAGACACGGUCCAGACUCCUACGGGAGGCAGCAGUGGGGAAUAUUGCACAAUGGGCGCAAGCCUGAUGCAGCCAUGCCGCGUGUAUGAAGAAGGCCUUCGGGUUGUAAAGUACUUUCAGCGGGGAGGAAGGGAGUAAAGUUAAUACCUUUACUCAUUGACGUUACCCGCAGAAGAAGCACCGGCUAACUCCGUGCCAGCAGCCGCGGUAAUACGGAGGGUGCAAGCGUUAAUCGGAAUUACUGGGCGUAAAGCGCACGCAGGCGGUUUGUUAAGUCAGAUGUGAAAUCCCCGGGCUCAACCUGGGAACUGCAUCUGAUACUGGCAAGCUUGAGUCUCGUAGAGGGGGGUAGAAUUCCAGGU